UUUAACCAAUGUAGAAUAGUUGAACAAUUUAUCUUCUUUCCGCGCGCUGUACAGUACCUUUAGCGCCUCCGCAAACUUUCGCACACGCUCAUCUCCACUGGAAGCACAAUACCUUUAGGCGGCGACGGCGGUGCUUCACCUUCUGCCUUCCCCUCAUCUCGUUACGAGUUCGCAAACUAAAUUUCCUGCGUAUUUGCAUUUUUCACCGGGAAUGGCAAACUAAAUUUCCUGCGUAUUUGCAUUUUUCACCGGGAAUCGGCUAAACUCUAAACCCUGCCACUUCUUUUCUUCCUCUUCCUUCACCGGGAAUCGGCUAAACCCUACCAUCGAGCAUUGUGGAGUUGCUUCAACUGAAUGUCCCUAUGGCGAUGAAACUGGCGUUUGAUGGUUUGAAGGGUUC